rnacentral:rRNA from 1 species
AUUGAACGCUGGCGGCAUGCUUUACACAUGCAAGUCGAACGGCAGCGCGGGCUUCGGCCUGGCUGCGAGUGGCGAACGGGGGAUUAAUCCAUCGUAACGCGCCCAGGAGUGUGGGAUAGCCCGGCGAAAGCCGGAUUAAUACCGCAUACGACCUGAGGGUGCAAGCGGGGGGCCGAAAGGCCUCGCCCGAUUGGGUCGGCCGAGGGCGGGUUAGCUUGUUGGUGGGGUAAAGGCUUACCCAGGCGACGAUCCGUAGCUGGUCUGAGAGGACGACCAGCCACACUGGGGCUGAGCGGCGGCCCAGACACUUACGGGCGGCAGCAGUGGGGACUUUGGGAAGAUGGGGGGAACCCUGAUCAAGCGAUGCCGCGUGCGGGAAGAAGGCCUUCGGGUUGUAAACCGGUUUUGUUGGGGAAGACAGCUUCUGGGCUAAAACCAGGGGGGGUGGACGGAACCGGAAGAAAAAGCACGGGCUACUUACGU